UUGACCUCAAAUCAGGUAGGACUACCCGCUGAACUUAAGCAUAUCAAUAAGCGGAGGAAAAGAAACUAACAAGGAUUCCCCUAGUAACUGCGAGUGAAGCGGGAAAAGCUCAAAUUUAAAAUCUGGCGGUCUCCGGCCGUCCGAGUUGUAAUCUAGAGAAGUGUUAUCCGCG
rnacentral:rRNA from 1 species